AUUGAACGCUGGCGGCAGGCUUAACACAUGCAAGUCGAACGAGUGGCGGACGUGUGAGUAAUGUCUGGGAAACUGCCUGAUGGAGGGGGAUAACUACUGGAAACGUUAUCUAAUACCGCAUACCAUCGGAUGUGCCCAGGUGGGAUUAGCUAGUAGGUGGGGUAACGGCUCACAGAGGCGACGAUCCCUAGGUGGUCUUAGAGGAUGACCAGCCACACUGGAAAUGAGACACGGUCGAGACUCCUACGGGAGGCAGCAGUGGGGAAUAUUGCACAAUGGGCGCAAGCCUGAUGCAGCCAUGCCGGGUGUAAGAAGAAGGCCUUCGGGUUGUAAAGUACUUGCAGCGGGGAGGCGUUACCCGCAGAAGAAGCACCGGCUAACUACGUGCCAGCAGCCGCGGUAAUUC
rnacentral:rRNA from 1 species